rnacentral:rRNA from 1 species
UACAGAGACUGCGAGCGUUAUUCGGAUUCACUGGGCGUAAAGGGUGCGCAGGUGGCAGUUCAAGUCUGCUGUCAAAGACCGGGGCUUAACUUCGGAAAGGCAGUGGAAACUGAACAGCUAGAGUAUGGUAGGGGCAGAGGGAAUUCCUGGUGUAGCGGUGAAAUGCGUAGAGAUCAGGAAGAACAUCGGUGGCGAAGGCGCUCUGCUGGACCAUAACUGACACUCAGGGACGAAAGCGAGGGGAGCGAACGGG